UUCGAUAUUUGAACUCUUUGAUUAGUUAUUCUUUUCAUUACAUUGGCGAAUGGCUUUUUUAUGAAAUUAAAGUAGAAAAUGUAAGGAACUAUAUCUUUUUCUACGCAUUCACAAUAUGUUUUGACAACGCCUAUUGUUGUAUGACAUCAGAGGAGUGAAAUAACCACGUUUAUUUCACAUGUGAAGUUAUCGGUUUUUAUUUCA
rnacentral:lncRNA from 1 species